UCGACUGCGAGUCUUUGGGCCACCUCCCAUCCGUGUCUAUUGUACCCUGUUGCUUCGGCGGGCCCGCCGCUUGUCGGCCGCCGGGGGGGCGCCUCUGCCCCCCGGGCCCGUGCCCGCCGGAGACCCCAACACGAACACUGUCUGAAAGCGUGCAGUCUGAGUUGAUUGAAUGCAAUCAGUUAAAACUUUCAACAAUGGAUCUCUUGGUUCCGGCAUCGAUGAAGAACGCAGCGAAAUGCGAUAACUAAUGUGAAUUGCAGAAUUCAGUGAAUCAUCGAGUCUUUGAACGCACAUUGCGCCCCCUGGUAUUCCGGGGGGCAUGCCUGUCCGAGCGUCAUUGCUGCCCUCAAGCCCGGCUUGUGUGUUGGGUCGCCGUCCCCCUCUCCGGGGGGACGGGCCCGAAAGGCAGCGGCGGCACCGCGUCCGAUCCUCGAGCGUAUGGGGCUUUGUCACAUGCUCUGUAGGAUUGGCCGGCGCCUGCCGACGUUUUCCAACCAUUCUUUCCAGGUUGACCUCGGAUCAGGUAGGGAUACCCGCUGAACUUAAGCAUAUC
rnacentral:rRNA from 1 species